rnacentral:rRNA from 1 species
UUAAGCGACUAAGCGUACACGGUGGAUGCCCUGGCAGUCAGAGGCGAUGAAGGACGUGCUAAUCUGCGAAAAGCGUCGGUAAGGUGAUAUGAACCGUUAUAACCGGCGAUGUCCGAAUGGGGAAACCCAGUGCAAUUCGUUGCACUAUCGUUAACUGAAUACAUAGGUUAACGAGGCGAACCGGGGGAACUGAAACAUCUAAGUACCCCGAGGAAAAGAAAUCAACCGAGAUUCCCCCAGUAGCGGCGAGCGAACGGGGAGCAGCCCAGAGUCUGAAUCAGCUUGUGUGUUAGUGGAACGGUCUGGAAAGUCCGACGGUACAGGGUGAUAGUCCCGUACACCAAAAUGCACAGGUUGUGAACUCGAAGAGUAGGGCGGGACACGUGGUAUCCUGUCUGAAUAUGGGGGGACCAUCCUCCAAGGCUAAAUACUCCUGACUGACCGAUAGUGAACCAGUACCGUGAGGGAAAGGCGAAAAGAACCCCGGCGAGGGGAGUGAAAAAGAACCUGAAACCGUGUACGUACAAGCAGUGGGAGCACCUUCGGGUGUGACUGCGUACCUUUUGUAUAAUGGGUCAGCGACUUAUAUUCUGUAGCAAGGUUAACCGUAUAGGGGAGCCGCAGGGAAACCGAGUCUUAACUGGGCGUUAAGUUGCAGGGUAUAGACCCGAAACCCGGUGAUCUAGCCAUGGGCAGGUUGAAGGUUGGGUAACACUAACUGGAGGACCGAACCGACUAAUGUUGAAAAAUUAGCGGAUGACUUGUGGCUGGGGGUGAAAGGCCAAUCAAACCGGGAGAUAGCUGGUUCUCCCCGAAAGCUAUUUAGGUAGCGCCUCGUGAACUCAUCUUCGGGGGUAGAGCACUGUUUCGGCUAGGGGGUCAUCCCGACUUACCAACCCGAUGCAAACUACGAAUACCGAAGAAUGUUAUCACGGGAGACACACGGCGGGUGCUAACGUCCGUCGUGAAGAGGGAAACAACCCAGACCGCCAGCUAAGGUCCCAAAGUCAUGGUUAAGUGGGAAACGAUGUGGGAAGGCACAGACAGCCAGGAUGUUGGCUUAGAAGCAGCCAUCAUUUAAAGAAAGCGUAAUAGCUCACUGGUCGAGUCGGCCUGCGCGGAAGAUGUAACGGGGCUAAACCAUGCACCGAAGCUGCGGCAGCGACACUAUGUGUUGUUGGGUAGGGGAGCGUUCUGUAAGCCUGCGAAGGUGNNNNNNNNUGCUGGAGGUAUCAGAAGUGCGAAUGCUGACAUAAGUAACGAUAAAGCGGGUGAAAAGCCCGCUCGCCGGAAGACCAAGGGUUCCUGUCCAACGUUAAUCGGGGCAGGGUGAGUCGACCCCUAAGGCGAGGCCGAAAGGCGUAGUCGAUGGGAAACAGGUUAAUAUUCCUGUACUUGGUGUUACUGCGAAGGGGGGACGGAGAAGGCUAUGUUAGCCGGGCGACGGUUGUCCCGGUUUAAGCAUGUAGGCUGAUUGUCCAGGCAAAUCCGGAUAAUCAAGGCUGAGGUGUGAUGACGAGGCACUACGGUGCUGAAGUAACAAAUGCCCUGCUUCCAGGAAAAGCCUCUAAGCAUCAGGUAACAUCAAAUCGUACCCCAAACCGACACAGGUGGUCAGGUAGAGAAUACCAAGGCGCUUGAGAGAACUCGGGUGAAGGAACUAGGCAAAAUGGUGCCGUAACUUCGGGAGAAGGCACGCUGGUGUGUAGGUGAAGNUGGAGCUGAGACCAGUCGAAGAUACCAGCUGGCUGCAACUGUUUAUUAAAAACACAGCACUGUGCAAACACGAAAGUGGACGUAUACGGUGUGACGCCUGCCCGGUGCCGGAAGGUUAAUUGAUGGGGUUAUCCGUAAGGAGAAGCUCUUGAUCGAAGCCCCGGUAAACGGCGGCCGUAACUAUAACGGUCCUAAGGUAGCGAAAUUCCUUGUCGGGUAAGUUCCGACCUGCACGAAUGGCGUAAUGAUGGCCAGGCUGUCUCCACCCGAGACUCAGUGAAAUUGAACUCGCUGUGAAGAUGCAGUGUACCCGCGGCAAGACGGAAAGACCCCGUGAACCUUUACUAUAGCUUGACACUGAACAUUGAGCCUUGAUGUGUAGGAUAGGUGGGAGGCUUUGAAGCGUGGACGCCAGUCUGCGUGGAGCCAACCUUGAAAUACCACCCUUUAAUGUUUGAUGUUCUAACGUUGGCCCCUGACCGGGGUUGCGGACAGUGUCUGGUGGGUAGUUUGACUGGGGCGGUCUCCUCCCAAAGCGUAACGGAGGAGCACGAAGGUUAGCUAAUCCUGGUCGGACAUCAGGAGGUUAGUGCAAUGGCAUAAGCUAGCUUGACUGCGAGCGUGACGGCGCGAGCAGGUGCGAAAGCAGGUCAUAGUGAUCCGGUGGUUCUGAAUGGAAGGGCCAUCGCUCAACGGAUAAAAGGUACUCCGGGGAUAACAGGCUGAUACCGCCCAAGAGUUCAUAUCGACGGCGGUGUUUGGCACCUCGAUGUCGGCUCAUCACAUCCUGGGGCUGAAGUAGGUCCCAAGGGUAUGGCUGUUCGCCAUUUAAAGUGGUACGCGAGCUGGGUUUAGAACGUCGUGAGACAGUUCGGUCCCUAUCUGCCGUGGGCGCUGGAGAAUUGAGGGGGGCUGCUCCUAGUACGAGAGGACCGGAGUGGACGCAUCACUGGUGUUCGGGUUGUCAUGCCAAUGGCACUGCCCGGUAGCUAAAUGCGGAAGAGAUAAGUGCUGAAAGCAUCUAAGCACGAAACUUGCCCCGAGAUGAGUUCUCCCUGAGACUUUAAGUCUCCUGAAGGAACGUUGAAGACGACGACGUUGAUAGGCCGGGUGUGUAAGCGCAGCGAUGCGUUGAGCUAACCGGUACUAAUGAACCGUGAGGCUUAACCUU